UCGAGACCACGAGGGUCGAUGAGCCCACCAGCGGCUUCAACUGAGGUCCGGCCUCGCGAAACAUCUGCGGUUUGACCGCGAGUACAAGCACGUCGGCGGGGCCGAUGUCCUUCGUCUCGGGAUUCAGCCGCACGCCGCGCGCGACGAAAUCGCGGGUGUCGUCCGACGGGAAUGGCUCGAUGAUGGUCACGCGUUUGGUGUCGAGUCCUCCGUCCNCCGGACAGCAUCGCGCCGCCCAUCUUGCCCGCACCCGCGAGCACGAGUGAGCCUGUGAAGU
rnacentral:misc_RNA from 1 species